rnacentral:rRNA from 1 species
CCUACGGGUGGCAGCAGUGGGGAAUAUUGGACAAUGGAGGAAACUCUGAUCCAGCAAUGCCGCGUGAGUGAAGAAGGAUUUCGGUUUGUAAAGCUCUAUCAUCAGGGAAGAAAAAAAUGACGGUACCUGAGUAAUAAGCCCCGGCUAACUACGUGCCAGCAGCCGCGGUAAUACGUAGGGGGCAAGCGUUAUCCGGAAUGACUGGGUGUAAAGGGUGCGUAGACGGUAAUGCAAGUCUGGGGUGAAAGGCCGGGGCCUAACCCCCGGACUGCUUCGGAAACUGUGUAACUGGAGUGCAGGAGAGGCAGGCGGAAUUCCUGGUGUAGCGGUGAAAUGCGUAGAUAUUAGGAGGAACACCAGUGGCGAAGGCGGCCGACUGGACUGUAACUGACGUUGAGGCACGAAAGCGUGGGGAGCAAACAGGAUUAGAUACCCGAGUAGUC